UACGGAGGGAGCUAGCGUUGUUCGGAAUUACUGGGCGUAAAGCGCGCGUAGGCGGCUUUGUAAGUUAGAGGUGAAAGCCCGGGGCUCAACCCCGGAACUGCCUUUAAGACUGCAUCGCUUGAAUCCGGGAGAGGUGAGUGGAAUUCCGAGUGUAGAGGUGAAAUUCGUAGAUAUCGUAAGGAAGACCAGUGGCGAAGGCGGGUCUCUGGACAGUUCCUGACGCUGAGGCACGAAGGCCAGGGGAGCAAACGGG
rnacentral:rRNA from 1 species